CAGCAGCCGCGGGAAUACGGAGGGUGCAAGCGUUAAUCGGAAUUACUGGGCGUAAAGCGCACGCAGGCGGUCUGUCAAGUCAGAUGUGAAAUCCCCGGGCUUAACCUGGGAACUGCAUUUGAAACUGGCAGACUGGAGUCUUGUAGAGGGGGGUAGAAUUCCAGGUGUAGCGGUGAAAUGCGUAGAGAUCUGGAGGAAUACCGGUGGCGAAGGCGGCCCCCUGGACAAAGACUGACGCUCAGGUGCGAAAGCGUGGGGAGCAAACAGGAUUAGAUACCCCUGUAGUCCCUGUCUCUUAUAC
rnacentral:rRNA from 1 species